rnacentral:rRNA from 1 species
GAUGAACGCUGGCGGCGUGCCUAAUACAUGCAAGUCGAGCGAACGGACGAGAAGCUUGCUUUUCUGAUGUUAGCGGCGGACGGGUGAGUAACACGUGGAUAACCUACCUAUAAGACUGGGAUAACUUCGGGAAACCGGAGCUAAUACCGGAUAAUAUUUUGAACCGCAUGGUUCAAAAGUGAAAGACGGUCUUGCUGUCACUUAUAGAUGGAUCCGCGCUGCAUUAGCUAGUUGGUAAGGUAACGGCUUACCAAGGCAACGAUGCAUAGCCGACCUGAGAGGGUGAUCGGCCACACUGGAACUGAGACACGGGCCAGACUCCUACGGGAGGCAUCAGAAGGGAAUCUUCCGCAAUGGGCGAAAGCCUGACGGAGCAACGCCGCGUGAGUGAUGAAGGUCUUCGGAUCGUAAAACUCUGUUAUUAGGGAAGAACAUAUGUGUAAGUAACUGUGCACAUCUUGACGGUACCUAAUCAGAAAGCCACGGCUAACUACGUG